CUGUCGUCAGCUCGUGUCGUGAGAUGUUGGGUUAAGUCCCGUAACGAGCGCAACCCUUGUCCUUAGUUACCAGCACGUUAUGGUGGGCACUCUAAGGAGACUGCCGGUGACAAACCGGAGGAAGGUGGGGAUGACGUCAAGUCAUCAUGGCCCUUACGGCCUGGGCUACACACGUGCUACAAUGGUCGGUACAAAGGGUUGCCAAGCCGCGAGGUGGAGCUAAUCCCAUAAAACCGAUCGUAGUCCGGAUCGCAGUCUGCAACUCGACUGCGUGAAGUCGGAAUCGCUAGUAAUCGUGAAUCAGAAUGUCACGGUGAAUACGUUCCCGGGCCUU
rnacentral:rRNA from 1 species